rnacentral:rRNA from 11 species
GAGUUGACCGUGAAAUCCAU